UGCGUUUUUGUAAGGCUAGCAUAAAAUAUUAAAGAUAUGCGUCAAUAAAACUGUCAGAUCAACGUUGUAAACAUUUCUUCAAUGACUCUUCGUGUAACUUCUCGCGUGGUAAAUAAAACGUCAGAACCUACUUUUUUUCGGAAUUGUUCGGACAGAUUUUGUGAGUCGGCUCAGACAAUUCAUUUUAAAGGAUCCUCCUCCUCUUUCAUCGCGGGAAUUUUUUUAUAGGAAAAUCCCAGAUGCUUUAAAGGUAACGUUAUUGCACUUUGAAAAGGAGAAGUACGUCCACUGAAACCCAUUAUCCUCAACCGUGCACGACGAUCAGCACACCUGAGAACAAUCCCGCACAGAAUCAUGUCUGGAGUCGAACAGGUCUACUUCAUCGGAACCGCAGUUUCUCUUCUGGUUGCUCUGUUUGGUCUGGCUAGUUCAGUCGGAGGUCUGAUGUAUCCUCAAGGAUCAUGUCUGGCGGAUGACAACUGGACCGUGUGGACUGUUUCACUGACGGAAGCUGCUGACAACGCCAAGCGUGUUGGAUCCAAAUGAACUGGAGCAGUGAUGGGAUCAAUUGCACUAGGAGAAAUAAUCGGUGUAUUAAGACUACUGAGGAUUAAUAUGAAAUUGUUUCCUCCAUUACACUGUGAGCUGUGUUUUGUUGAGUCAUGUGAAAUAUGAGACAGUUUGAAGAACAAUGAUGGCAAGUGCAGUGCAAAUAGUAGUUUCUUUUUUCUUUUGUUGUUCUGGUUUCUGGGUAUAAACUGUAUUAACAUCCUGGACUGCUGUAAAAUAAUCAUGUUUGUACCGCAUGUGUGAAUGCUUUGUCAUUGAUUUUACAUACUUCAUAGCUAUUCUUACACUGUAUUCAUGGAGAAACUGCACUGAAAAAAAAUCUACACACUUUUUCAUAUGGUUACAAAGAGAACUAAUGGAUUGAAGUUAGUUGUAUGACAUGUAAAUGGAUGUAAAAAUGGCAUACAAUUAUCAUAAAUGCAUCUCAUAAGGAGAUAUGAUUUGAAAAAUAUAUAUUUAAACUAAUAUUUACAUAUUUGUAUUGGUUAAAUAUAUCUAAAUGUCCCUUUUUAUUUAAUAUUUAUGUAAAUAUAUGACAUUUUGUGUUUGUAAAAUAUAAACAUGACCUUGUCAUAUGAUUUAUAUAUAUUGAUAUCAGAUUAUUUGUACAUUGUUUUUGGAUGAUCAAAGUAAUAUAAUAAUACAGUAAAAUAGAUACAAUAGUAAAAUAGCCAGAUUAAUGGAAUUGGUAAAUUUCACAAAUAAUUCUGAAGUAAAAAGGAAAGUGAAAAGUAAAAUGUUUGAAGUACAUUUCCCUAAAGUUUUUUUUUUUCAGAAUCUGCUCCAAUAUUUUGUUUACAUAUUGAAUAUAAUAUACACUGUCACUGUGCCAUUAGAAAACAAAUGUUUGUUAUUAUUUUUUUAACACCUUUCUUUGUACUUUUUAUGUAAAUGGGGUACUGACAGAUACUGUAUGCAGGACAAAUACAAAACUGCUGUUACUUAAACUCUGUUUUAUACUGAGGAAUAAAAAUAUGUAUACAGUA